ACUGGAAAGAGAAAAGCUGAUAACUUAGGUGAAAUACCAAAUCCUACUACAAAGAAACCAAAAACUUGUUCCAGUAAUGAGAAAACAAAGAAGAAAACACAAAACCUAAAUAAGGAUUUAAAUGAGUUUGAAUUUGUAAAGUCACAAUAUCCUGUUAAGAAGUCUGUCCCUGCUAAGCCUAAGGAAAAAUUGAUUUCUAAAUCUUCUGGUGCUCCAGACCUACUCUGUAGUAUUCAGGAGAAAAAAAUUGCACAAUCCCAGUCAGUUCAAGCUCCAAGCCCAGAGCCACAGGCAGAACCUGAACAGCAAGAGAACUCGGAGCUGACUACCGAUGACAAAUGGGACAUAACUUCAAUUAUAUCAACAUGUAAUAAUGACAGUGUCAGUGAAACUUACACAGAUGAUGAAAUAUUCAGAGUUGGCAUGGAUGGUACAAAGAGUAAACCACAGGAAAAACAUGCCUCCAAAAAAAAUAAAAAUGAACCAAUAAAAAAUGUUGCCAAUAAACCUGAAACCAAGAAAGCUGAAGAUAAUGCAAAUUCAAUAAAUAAUAAAAAUAUCAAAGAUCUUGGUGAAACGCAUAGCAUAAAAUGUAGGAAUGUAGGGAACACCAAGCCUCAAAUUGAUAGACAUGUCAAAAACCAUGCUAAUGCAAAUGAUAAUACUGGUGUUGGUAAUAUAAAAACCACCAAUAAAAAAAAUUCCAAAGAUAAUGAGCAAUGUAAACAAACUAACAAAAUUGUUAAAAAUGCAAGUGAUAUGAAACUGGCAAAUAACAAAAUUUUUAAAGAUAUUGGCAAUAUAACAACAGCAAAUAACACAAAUGUCAAAGAUAUUAAUGUACUGAAGCUUACAAAAUAUAAAAUUGUCAAAGAUGAUGGAAAACUGUUAAAUAGCAAAGAUGUCAGCAGGAAUCCCUUGAGUAACAAAAAAUAUGGAGACCUAGAUAAUAAGCAAAAUGUAAAUAAUAUAAAUAAGAUAGACGUUAACACAAUGGUUCAAGCUGCUCCCAGAAUGGAUACUCCUGUGAAAGUUUGUCCCGCCAUGAGGGCGAUGCUGAGCCGCAGCAGCCGCAUCGACGCCUUCUGGGACACGGACGACAGCGACCACGAGACCGCCGCGCGCCGACACGCGCCCCCCUCGCUACCUUAUCACCAUGCAGACUUGACGCAGAAUCAGGGAACCAAUCCCAAGCAAAGUGGCCCUGGCAGCCAGCAUGCUUCAUCGACGAAACUUACGAAAGCGAACAAAACUCUAGCAGUAAUUCCUGAAAAAAUGGUUAAAAAUAAUAAUGACACACCAAACACGUCACUAAAGACAAGAAGACGAAUAAACCUAUCAGGGUGGCUAGCCAAAUGGCACAACGCUCACGAAACGCUCACGAAACGAAGCGCUAGUAGAUAUCUAUCUCUAUCGCGCUUGCGUAUUGGCGCGACAGAGCCAGCGGCGUAUCUCUUUCGUUUGGCGUCGGAGAAAUGCCAUUCGGCUACGGGGCCAGACGCGUUAGAAUCUGCUAAUAAUUCAGACCUCAAAGAAAAUAUACCGAUUAAAACAAAAGUUCAAAAGAAACAAAAGACUGAAAAAAAAGUAACACAGGAUGAAAAUAAUAAGACUAAAGCAACCGAAACCACAAAGAGUAGAAAAAAAAAGGGAAAAGUUUAACAGAUGACUCUAAAAAUCGAGUAGAAACCCCAACAAGCCAAAGUAAAACUACUAAAGUACAAAAACCUGCUGAACAAAUGAAAAUUGAUAUUUGCAAAGUUUUGAGAUCACGCAACAUUGACCUGUCAUCUUCGUUUAAUUCUGACAAAUUUGAACUAACAAUGACUCGUGGAAGAAAAUCUCGAACGCCAAGCAAAAGAAUAUCUUUCAAUAAGUCGAAAAAUGUGCUGGUCAAUAACAAAAUCAGAAAUAGAGCAACCAAGUCGUGAGGUACACGAACAGUUAGGUAAUGCACCUGUCGAAACCGAGCGGAUAUUCGCAGCAUACGCUUC
rnacentral:misc_RNA from 1 species